GACAGAGGGUGCUAGCGUUGUUCGGAAUUAUUGGGCGUAAAGAGCUCGUAGGCGGUUUGUUGCGUCUGUCGUGAAAGCCCACAGCUUAACUGUGGGUCUGCGGUGGAUACGGGCAGACUAGAGGCAGGUAGGGGAGAAUGGAAUUCCCGGUGUAGCGGUGAAAUGCGCAGAUAUCAGGAGGAACACCGGUGGCGAAGGCGGGUCUCUGGGCCGAUACUGACGCUGAGGAGCGAAAGCGUGGGGAGCGAACAGG
rnacentral:rRNA from 1 species